rnacentral:rRNA from 1 species
CAGAGGGUGCGAGCGUUGUCCGGAAUUACUGGGCGUAAAGGGCGCGUAGGCGGCCUGAUAAGUCGGGGGUGAAAUUCAGCGGCUCAACCGCUGGACUGCCUUCGAGACUGUCGGGCUCGAGCACGGUAGAGGCUGGUGGAAUUCCCGGUGUAGCGGUGGAAUGCGUAGAGAUCGGGAAGAACAUCGGUGGCGAAGGCGGCCAGCUGGGCCGUUGCUGACGCUGAUGCGCGACAGCGUGGGGAGCAAACAGGAUUAGAUACCCUGGUAGUCCACGCCGUAAACGAUGGGCACUAGGCGCCGGGGGGAGCGACCCCUUCGGUGCCGUCGUUAACACAGUAAGUGCCCCGCCUGGGGAGUACGGCCGCAAGGCUG